GGAAGUGUGGCCGAGCGGUUUAAGGCACCGGUCUUGAAAACCGGCGUGGUAGCGAUACCACCGUGGGUUCGAAUCCCACCGCUUCCGCCA
rnacentral:tRNA from 1 species